UUAACCAAUAAAUCCCCUGUUGCAUUAGCCUCUGAUACAUUUAUCAGAUCAACCAAUGGAUUUCCUAUGUGGGGCCCAAGUGGUCACAAUGACUGUUGGAUUGGAUGGCUCCACCAUCGAUCAUGAAUGGCCCAAGAUGUACCCUUACUGGAUGAUUAUGUCCAUUUGAAUAUAGGACUGUAAAAUGGAAAUAAUGAGCAUUUUUCAGGACUUAAAUGGCCUGUGAUCAUUGGUGAGCCCUUGGGUCCCAUGUAGGGAUUUGCAUCCUGAUAAUAAGGCAAGAAGAAUUCUCAUUGCUCCUGUUUCUAUUAUUUCUAGAUUUUCUUUCUUUCUUGAUUUUUGUAGGCAUUUUUUUUUUUUUGGUUUUCUAAUAAGGUUGCUUUCUUUUAUGCACAACUCCAAUAAUAACUUUGUGCUCGAGCUGGACUUUUUACCCUUCACUGAUUCUCUUUUCCUUAGCCUACUCUGUUAAAAUCCAUUGGCAAUGGUGUAGAGUUCCUAAAUCAGCACAUUUCUUUGAAAAUGUUUCAUGACAGGGAGAGCUUGUGUUGUUUGUGUUGUUUUCUAUGACAUAUAUACAAGGAAUAGAUUAUAAAUUGGCAAAAUGGGAGCCUUCAUAUCAAGAUUGACACUCUCUUUAUUCAUUUGCUAGCCUUUUUAUUAUGCUUUCAUUUUUUAUUUUUAUUUUUUGUCUUAACUCUCUCUUAGUAUUGGAAAAAAAUGCGUAGGAGUUGUUUGUUAAAACCUUAAAGAAAUGUGAUUUGGUGGAGAAUGGUAUGCUUUUAGUUUGGUUCUACUCUCUCUCUCUCUCUAACUUCUUGAAAUGCAGAAAAAGCAAUGGAUGAUGAUCUGUCUUGGUUGAAUGGUUUGAGCCAUGAAACCAAUGAAUGAUGUUCAGGAACCCAUAAAUAGUUGGUUAUGGACAUUGAUUCUGUUUUUUCCUCUGUAUUGGGCAGGAAUACUUGCUAAUGUUUCAGAGGCUUGCAAGCAAGAUCUUGACUUUAUGUGUCCCAACCAUUGCAGUAAUUCGAUGAAUUUCUAUAUAGGAGAUAAAUUACAAUUGUUAUUUCUAGCUGACUCCAAUUCUAACAUGUUUCCAAGUUUAAAUGAUUGCAUUUAUUUCAUAAUCUUGGAAUUAGUUUCUAAUACAAGGUGACUGUCCAAAUAGAGGACAUGCAGUUGGCGCGGGCUGCAUUUUUGCAUUGGCACAUGACUAUCGGCUCAUGGCCUCUAACUAUGGUUAUAUUUUCAUGAAUGAGGUUGAUUUUGGGUUGCCAUUGACACUGGGGAAUGUGACUGUUCUCCAACUCAAGCUAAAGUGAGGAAGACAUUUUAUACAAAUGUUCCUGAUGAAUAUAUGCAAGCUGUUGAAGAUAUGGUUGUCCCAAGGACUGAAUUUGGUAAUGCAUCAGAGAAAGAGCAAUACCAUGUGAAGGUGUUUGACAAACAUGGAGUGACUCUUUCAUGCAAAUGUUCUACAAUAGAAGAUGGUGGAAAACUUAAGCUUCGUAAGGCAAGUAUUACGCCUUCCUCUAGUUAAUAUUCAUAACUAGAUGCUACUAGUAAAAUGCAUGUGCGUUGCAUUUAGGAAAUAAUUCAAAGUAUGCAAAAGAACAAUAAAAUCACGGAUCGCUCCAUGAUUUAUAUGAUCAAGGUUAAUCUGUGUAUGUUGAUUGCUCUCUGGGGACCAAAAUGUGUCCAGAAAUGGAUCCAUCCACACAUGAGUGAACCAUUGUUCUGUCCAUUGGAAUGUUUACAUGUCAAAAAUCUAGCUCAUUCAUCAGGUAGUGUACACUUUGCACAUGCCCUGGGCCAAAAACUGAUGUUGGUCUGCUAAUCAAGGAAAAUUAUGCUUCUAUGAGAAAAAUCCUAGUACACUGCACAUAUACUCAGGCCAAAGAUCAUGUUGCUCCUUUGUGAUAAAUGGGUUGGGAAUCUUAGAAUCGGAUUUUUGUGAAGGUUUUACCAUUACAACUGAAAUGCAGGUAAGAUUCUCACAUGCUUGUGUAAUUAGUGAAUGUAGGGGUGUCUGCAAUUAGCAUGAAACAGAAUUUCUAGACGAAACAGAUCUUUUCCAUAAAGAGUAAUCAUAUACAAAAUUUUGGAUUCUUAGGUUGUUAUUUAGUCUGGUACAUGUUACAGGUUGAACUAAUCACAAAGCAGCAUUUCAUCGCAGAUACAUUAUGCCUCAAUAAGGAUUUCCACCUGAAGCUGAC